AAAGAUUCAGUGAUAAAGUUUAAAGUAAAAGAUUUUUUACAUAGUUGUUGGUCUCAUAUAAAUUUUAGAUCUGAUAUUUCUUAUGAGUUAUUUAAUAUUAUUAGUGUUUAUUGUGGAAUCUGAACAAACAUUGUACAAGUGUGUAACGGCACCCUUUUUUUCUAGAUAUUGUGUGGAAGUAACUGCAGCAGAAAAUUGGUACCAAGGAUGCCCUGCUCUUGGGGGGUUAAGCUGACCCCAAACAACCAUGCUACACACCUGCCUUCGACCUCAGUCGCUUCCAGUCGUGACAUCGGACGGAUGUCCCAGCCAGCCUAGCCUUCCAUUUAGGCCUACCAACUACCAAGGCGUUACUGGCGCGCCCAGACCUGAGACAAAGCCGAUGCCGCAUUUCUACAAAGGUCCACUGAUUAUGGCAUCCAGAUUUCCUGAGUCACGUGUCCAAGUCUUCGCGCCCGCAAGUGAUGCUUUACCGCAAGACAUAUGAACAAUUUUGAAAGCCAGCUUUUACGUGAACCGCAUUUUUAGCCAACUAUCCCCUUGUGAGAGAUGAUAUUGGUCCCACAUGUGGACAAGUUGCAUUUA